AACAAUCAAUCAAACACCCCAAAACAAAACAAAUCCAAAAUAUAGUGUUCAGUCCAAUUAUACAGUCCAAAAAUAGAAAAAAUGCCAAAACAUAAAUCCUAUUCUAAGUUAAUCCUAAAACUACGCUCCAAUGCCUUACCCGAUGCCUCGAUCCUUGAUCACGAGCCUCCUUUGCAUACAUGAUACUUCGGGGCAUUCCCCGGUGAAUAAGUACAAUAUAAUCUUGAGGCAUUCCCCGGCGAAUGAAUACAUCUUCAAAUCUUGCGCGAUAAAGUAGAAAGAACUAUUCACACGCACAUUCAAACACUCAACAAAACACCAUUCCUCAAAUUUGCCUACCCGACUUAGCAUUUUCCUACUAGAUUCGGUUUAUCAAUUCCAACAAAUUCAAUAUAAUUGAAGAUCCAAAAAAUUAACACGAAUUCACUUCAUCAUGUUUAACCCCUCCCAAAAUUCCCUUUAACACGAACUUUAACAUGAAAAUAGUUAUCAAGCCAUAUCAACAUCGAUUUCAUACUAACAACUAGCUAUUCAAAUAAACAGCACCAAGUAUCAACAAAAUUCCCAAUCAGUCAUCGUCAAAUACAUAACGAUAAUAAGAGAGUAGAGUCGACAAUUGGACCUCAAAAGUUUUUGAUUAACUUGAAAAGAAAGAGGAGGGCCGCUCCGAGAACCUCGACGAACACCAAAAUCUCAACUAUGAAUCAAUUCAAGCAGAAAAAUCCCUUGAAAUCCAAUUCGAAAAGAGAACCCAUGAAGGACAGUGAACAAACUCAAACUUGGUAUUGAGAAACGGAGACCCGAAACAGACCACAAUGAACCCACUGAUAUAAACAAUGUUCCCACCACUCCGAUAAGCUCAGACAACAACGGAUAUCGAUGAACAAGGAUGAUUUCAGUGAUUUUAACAUUUUCAGGCCAAAAUCAUCUGUGGAAAAUGACAACGACCAGCAUAGCCCAUUCCGGUGAACUUCAGUCUGUUUUGACGUGCUCGGCGAUAAACUGACGCGACCUCUACCUUCCCUUUCGAUUCUCACCUCUAUCUCUCACUCGAUUUUACUCUCUCUUCCCCUCUGAUUCUCUAAUCUCUCUCAGAUCUGUAUGUUUUAAGUGUGUGUAUUAGUGUCCUGUGAGAAAGAAAAAAUGGAGUCUCUGGUAGCGUGUGUACCAGUGAAGAUGAUCGUGAGUAUGAAAAUGAAGAGUGUGUAUAUGACGUGCGUGAUUUGGUUAUGUGCCUAAGAUGGUGAAGAAGCAGCCAAAAAGAAAAUCAGCAAGAAAAAUUCGAUCCCCCUAUAUGCGUGUACAGGGUGUAUAUAAAUACCCAAAAGGGAAAUGUCUUUUCUCUUAGUAGCAAGGCCCCCCUUCCUUUUUUGUUGUAUGUGUAUAUCAAUGGAAAGUGAGGUGUCUGAGUGAAGAGAAAUCAGUGCCCCCAAUCAAGGGGACGCCCUCCGCGCCCCUUCGCUUCUCUUUCUUUUGUGAUUUUGUAUAUAUGUAUUGUGUUUUGAUACAAACAAAAACAAAAACCAAAAAGAUUCCCUAUGGCCCCCCUUCAUCUAUGAAAAAUUCCCUUUUGUUCCUCUCUCCUCAAAAAUGACAAAACCGUGUAAAGUUAAGGCAGGGGUGGGUGUCACGUGAAUGGAGUAGUGGGGGUAGGGUAUAGGGUAGGUGGGGUAGCGUGAGUUGGUUAGGAUAAGAUUUGUUAAGAAUUUGUUAAGGGUUCUAUAUUAUUUUUGUAUUUUUAUGGGAUUAUCACACGGGGUAGGACACAUGGGAAUACUAGGGUAAAAAUGGAUAACUUGAGUUUUCGGGAAGGACAAAAUUAGGUGUCCACAUCAUGUCCCUCUUUGCAUGUAAACACAAAGUGUUUUCAUACAAAAAAGUAGACAACGAGAUGAAAUUUUGAGCCAACCAUUAUUCAAAGAAAGAAACAAAAGGAAGAAGGACAACCGAGUUGGAGAGUCGAGUGAGGUCCCGUCGAGGUUUCAGUCCGCGGCUCUGUCAUUACAUCAAAAAUAAAAAUUGCAAGUUAAAAACAUAAAUGAAAUUAUAAAAACUCUAUCUAUGCAGCUUCUUUGACUCUUGACUUGCUAUUUCAUCACCCUGUUCUUCAGGCGGGCUCCUGACGUGCCAUUUCAUCACCCUGUUCUUCAAGCGGGCUCCUGUCUUGUAAUUUCAUCAUCCUGUUCUUCAGGCGGGCUCCUGACGUGCCAUUUCAUCACCCUGUUCUUCAAGCGGGCUCCUGUCUUGUAAUUUCAUCAUCCUGUUCUUCAGGCGGGCUCCUGACUUUUAAUUUCAUCACCCUAUUCUUCAGGUGGGCUCCUGUCGUGCAAUUUCAUCACUUUGUUCUUCAGGCGAGCUCCUGACUUUCAAUUUCAUCACCCUAUUCUUCAAGCGGGUUCCUGAAACUAAAAUCAAAACUAGAACGAAAAUUAAUCAAAAUCAAAACAAGAACUAAAACUAUCCCACACAAAGAUUAUCAUAAGGCAGUAUUUCAUUUUGAAAGCGUGGUCCCAUAUUUCAGGAGGGACCCGAGGAGGGUCCUGAACAGAAAGUAAAAUCUCAUUUUUCGGGAGGUUCCUGGACAGAAAGUAAAAUCCCAUUUUUUAGGAAGGUCCUGAACAGAAAGUAAAAUCCCAUUUUUCAGGAGGGUCCUGAACAUAAAGUAAAAUUUUAUUUUUCAGAAGGGUCCUGAACAGAAAGUAAAAUCUCAUUUUUCAGGAGGGUCUUGAAUAUAAAGUGAAAUCUCAUUUUUCAGAAGGGUCCUGAACAGAAAGUAAAAUCUCAUUUUUCAGGAGGGUCCUGAACAUAAAGUAAAAUUCCAUUUUUCAGAAGGGUCCUGAACCCCUCCUGAACAGAAAGUAAAAUCCCAUUUUUCAUGAGGGUCCUAAACAUAAAGUGAAAUUCUAUUUUUCAGGAGGGUCCUGAACAUAAAGUGAAAUAUGAUUUUUCAGGAGGGUCCUGAACAGAAAGUAAAAUCCCAUUUUCCAGGAGGGUCCUGAACAGAAAUUAAAAUUUUAUUUUUCAGGAGGGUCCUGAACAUAAAGUGAAAUCUCAUUUUUAGGAGGGUCCUGAACAGAAGGUAAAAUUCUAUUUUUCAGGAGGGUCCUGAAUAGACAGUAAAUUUUAUUUUUCAGGAGGGUCCUCAACAACAGUAAAAUCUCAUUUUUCAGGAGAGUCCUGAACAGAAAGUAAAAUUCUAUUUUUCAAGAGGGUCCUGAACAUAAAGUGAAAUCUCAUUUUUCAGGAGGUCCUGAACAGAAAGUGAAAUCCCAUUUUUCAGGAGGGUCCUGAACAGAAGGUAAAAUCUCAUUUUUCAUGAGGGUCCUGAACAUAAAGUAAAAUCUCAUUUUUCAGGAAGGUCCUGAGCAAAAAGUAAAAUCUCAUUUUUCAGAAGGGUCCUAAACAUAAAGUGAAUUCCCAUUUUCCAGGAGGGUCCUGAAUAGAAAGUAAAUUCUAUUUUUUAGGAGGGUCCUGAACAUAAAGUGAAAUCUCAUUUUUCAGGAGAGUCCUGAACAGAAAGUAAAAUCUCAUUUUUCAGGAGGGUUCUGAACAUAAAGUAAAAUCCCAUUUUUCAGGAAGAUUUUGAACAUAAAGUGAAAUCCCAUUUUUUAGGAGGGUCCUGAACAUAUAGUGAAAUACUAUUUUUCAGGAGGGUCCUGAACAGAAAGUAAAAUCCCAUUUUUCAGGAGGGUCCUGAACAUAAGUGAAAUCCCAUUUUUCAGGAGGGCCCUGAACAGAAAGUAAAAUCCCCUUUUCCAGGAGGGUUUUGAACAUAAAGUAAAAUCUUAUUUUUCAGGAGGGUCCUGAACAUGAAAGUAAAAUCCAUGGAUGUGCAUUUCUAAUAGUAGUUGAAUUAAGUGAAGCGAAUUUACUUCUGUUUUAACAAAAAAAAUUGUCAGUUACAAACUUUGUGUGGUUUGCAGCACUUGGCUUUCCUGACACCAGUUGCUAUGUUCAUUCCCUUCAUUUUGUUUUAGAUUGCUGGCACUUGCCCCUACUUUAUCAUGGUAAUGACUCUGAAACAAACACAGUAUCUCUGCUUCGCCAUGCUCCUCAGAUAAACCCUUUGAACCUCGGUAUUUACAUGAGUUCCCAAACUUAUCUAUUGACAAAACUUUUUGCAUGCCUUGUUCUGGCUUUCAAUCUUAUUUCUUUCAUGUGCUGGCCCUUUUUCUUGCUUUGUGCAAUUGAAGAAGCUGGUAGCCAAUUUUGAAAUCUUUUCACACUUGUUUUGACAUGGACUUGACUCAAAGACAAGAGAAAAAUGACAACAAUUUUUGUUUUAUUUGGAUAACUAACUCAACGAUAUAAAAAUAUAACUAAAGAGAAGAAAGAAACAACAAUGAAUGUCCCCGUUGAAAAAGAUGAAAGAAAAGUUUAUUUGAAAAUGACAGUCAACUCUAAUGAUUAUGAUAUACAUAUCGAAUUAAACUUCCUGAUCUUUAUAUCCAAAACUUUCUACCAAUUGUUGUUGAGUUAAUGACCUCGAAAUUGAGUUGCUUCCUUAGGCCAAUUGCAUUUAAGACCUUAUUCAGCUAGUGGCCCCUUGAAUGGAUUUUGCCAACAAGUCUCUCUCAUUUUCUUUUUCACAGCUCACUAUUGCCCUGUGGUGUCCGUGAGGGCUUUUCACCAAUGAAACUCUCUUAUUUUCAUUUGUCUCAACUCACCAUCGUCUUACAGUGCCCGUGAGUAUUUUCACCGAUAAGACUCUCUCAUUGUUAUCUUCCUCAGCUUACCAUCGUCUUACGGUGCCCGUGAGAGUUUUCACCGAUAAGACUCUCUCCUUGUUAUCUCCCUCAGCCUACCAUCAUCUUACGGUGCCCGUGAGAGUUUUCACUGAUAAGACUCUCUCAUUUUUAUUUCCCUCAGCUUACUAUCAUCUUACGGUGCUCGUGAGGUUUUCAUCGAUAAGAUUCUCUCAUUUUUAUUUCUCUCAACUUAACAUCGUCUUACGGUGCCCGUGAGGGUUUUCACCAAUAAGACUCUCUCAUUUUUAUUUCUCUCCUGAUUCUUUAUGCUGAGGAAGGCAAGUUCUCCGCCAAAUAUGUCAUUAUAUCCAUUGCAUGCUUAGCCUUAAAAUCCUCAAAGAUUGAUCUGAAGGUCUUUCUUUGGUUAUAGCUUUUGGAUAGGGUUAGAAAAAAAUGAUGGCAUGAGGCCCAAACGACGCUUGAAGUGGGAUGGGACUUACAACUUUUGGAAUCAACUCAAAUAAUGAAGAUUAACUCAUGUACAAUUUCUUUUGACUGGCCAAUUCAAAAUUGCUCAUUUGGGUUGACCCAGCCUGAAGUAGGGCAAACUACAUAUCUCACCCCCAGGAGAAGAGAAUCAGUUCACGCGUAGUUUUGACAGCUUGUUCUUUUGCUUAAUUCUGAUUUUUUUUACUUUUGUUUCUUUUAUUGACUUUUUCUUUUGGGACCUUUCUGACUCUAUUUUUCUUGACUAAGACUAAAGCUCAAAUGGGGUAAACAAAGGAUGACACGAUGUUUGGAUAGCAGAAUAAAAUGCCUUCGUCAUAUCAAUCCUUGAAAAUGCAAGUACAUAUCAUGUAAUAUGAAAGUGAGAGAUGAAGAUCAUUUGUGACAUUUUUUAAGCAUUAACUUUAACUAAGUCUGUGCGUCACUACUUUUGCACUUUGUUCAACAUAUCACUCCACUUUUGUUGUACAUUCCUCACAUCGAAUGACUCAUACUUUCGUGGAGUUGAUUUUUCUGUCCCUCAGUAUCACACAUCCGCUAUUUGACCUAAUUGAGAAAUAUUUUUCAAUUGAUGACCAAGUUAUUCUUGUGAUUCUCAAAAUAAUUGCCUUAAUUUUAAAAGAAGGCUUGAACUUGUCAACAAAUGUCUCAGCACACUACCUAUUUUCUCAUAUGCACUCUUUUUCUAACUUUAACCCUCUGAUUCAAUGUUCAUGCUUAAAUUAAAUUUUAAGAUCAGGCUGAAAAUUCCGCUAGCAUGUCAUAUCACUAGAAUUAACCGAAAAUGUACUGUGUAAAGAAAAUAAACAACACAUUUAAAACACAAAAGAAAAAGGGACACUUCAUUUAAUUAAAAUAAAAGAUAUAGAAGGGUUUGAACAUAAUGAAAAAUGGACAAAACAAGAUAGAUCCUGAACUACAACCCUGAAAUAAUUCGGAUAAUAGAAAAUAAAGCAACACAGACUACCAGACCUCUUCCUAGUAGGGAGAGGGGUGACUUCUCAAUUGCUCGACCUGACAUCUUAGCCACUGGUUUAUAUAUCAUCAUGAUUAGAGUUUUCCUCACUGUCAAUGUUCUGCAUCAUAAUCAAUUUGUCUUGAAUCAUCUUUUCAAUUUCUCUUUUCAACGCACUGAAAAUCUUCAAUACUGUGACCCUGAACAUCAGAAUGAUAUACACAUCCUACAUUAGGAUGAAAACUUCUUGAAUGCGGGUCAGGAGUAUACCCAAGAAGAGGAGUGAUCAUGCCUCGCUGUGCCAAUCUCUGAAAUAAACUGGCAUAUGACUCUUCAAUUGGUGUGAAACUAUCCCUCAAUUUCUGCCUCAUUUCAUUGUUUAACUUGGAUCAAACAUCGGGCAUAGAAGGGCUUUGGUAUAUUUGUGGGAUUGGAGGAUGACUUUGAAGAGUUGGUGCGCACCAUUGUGGGUAAGGAGGGAGUUGAACAUAUGGUUGUGCGUAAUAUACUAGAUAUGAAGGUGGGGAAACAGAGUAUAUUGGAUUUUAAGAGUGAUUAUAGAGAGUUUAGGUAUGAACUUGGGCUUGAGACUGACGGCAAUGACGACGUUGUCUUCUUGGAUGUGCCCGUUCUCUAACUACAAUAGCAGUGUCAUCUUUUUCAUUCUUCUUCCCUAUGGAUUCCCUCAAUUGAUUGCAAUAUUGUCCCAAAUGUUUCACGGAUUUCUCAUGCCCAUCUUGCUCCUCAAAUUUCGACAUCUCAAAGAUUGGAGAAAGUUUAGCACUUGAAGGCAUGCCCCAGUCUUUGUAUAAAAUAUCUUCUUUACCCGUAGGUCCUAGAGAAUUUUUCAUAGCAUUUUCUGCACUCUUCAUUUUUCCAACCAUUUUCUCCGACUCUUCUGGCAAACUAAACUUCUUGUUAAGAAAUUUUGGUGGUCCAGUUAACUUAAAAGCAGGCUCAGAAGUAUAACAAUGAUCACCAAAAGUAUUAAAUAUAAGUUCACUAGCAGCAUGGGGACGCACAAUCGUGGGGCGAGCCAGUGCGAAAGUCCCAGUAGAGGAUAGAGAAACAAGAUCGCAAACGACAUGUGGUGUUGCGAAUGUAGCAGGCUUAUGCUGAGGAGCUAUAGGAAAAGUGGUGAAAGUAUUGAGAUGCUUUUGGCUUGGAAUGAAUUCUGAGUCAUGUUGUGGUGCAUCAACAACAGUAGAAAACUGACUUUGAAAUUUUGGUGGAAAACUCGAGGUAUUUGUAGGAUCAAUAAAGGGAAAUGGAGGAGGAGGCAGUCCACUGGCCCAAGCUCGAUACAUUUCUGUCAUUUGUUGUCUUAGCCUCCUAAUCUCUUGCUUCAAACUCUCAUUUUCCUGAUUCUUUGUUUGAUCCAUGAUGUCACUCUCUAUAUCUUGGUUGGACACAACUAACCCUUUGGAUUUGGUGUAAUGUGAAGGACCAGCCAGAAUGCCACAAACCAACCACCUUAAACUGACUCAACAAAAAACAACAAAUGUGUUGGAGUUCAACACUUUUUCAAAACCUCUUUUUCCUUUUUUUUUUUGGAAAAGAUCGACGAACCCAAGAAGGGCGCCUAUGUAUCUCACCCCCUAGAGAGGAGAAUCAGGCGUGCUUAGUUCGUGAAGUCUUGCCAAAAUGGCCAAUUAAACUCUUUUUCCUUUUCUUCUUUUCUUCUUUUUUUUUUUUGAAACUUUGAGAAGAGAAAAUUACAAAUUGUCAAAAGAAUUGAAAAAAAUCUUUUUGAAUUUUUCAACUUUAACAUCUCUAUACAACGUGAAUACUAUGAUUACCAAAGAAAAAUCUUUUUGGAUUUUUGAUUUUGAAUUUCAUAAGGAAGUGAAUCUUGAAACUACCAAAGGAAAAUCUUUUUGUAGUUUUAUUUUAAAAGAUGUAUAUGAAACACCUACUCUAAUAAAAAGUGAAGAAAAUCUUUUUUGUUUUUGAAUUUUUCAAAUAAGAUCCCCGAACCAACAAUAGGCUGCCUACGUUUCUCACUCCCGAGAGAGGAGAAUCAGGGGUGCGUAGUUCGUCCAGAUUGGACAAUAUAGGAUUAAAGAACAAACAAAACCUUGACUUGAGACCUGAAUAAAGACAAACGAGUGAAGAACGUAAAUAAAAUCUUUUUGGGGUUUUUAAUUUUGACACAUGACACCUACAACUAGGAAAGAAAAAUCUUUUUUUUUGAGACAUUUUUGCUAUAUGAAAUGUAUAAAACUUCUACCAUUUUUGAAUUUUCUUUUAUAAAACUCCUAUUAAAAGAAAUCUUUUUCUUUUUUUUUUUGAAAUUUUCAAAUUACGGAAGCUUACUAAAGAAACAAAGAAAAAUCUUUUUGAUGUUUUUAUUUUUGACAAAAUGAGUGUAAAAGGUAAAAAAAAUAAUUUUUUUGAAUUGUGAAAAACAAAAGCCAUAAGGAACACUAAAAACUACGAAACCCAUUUUGACUCACUUCUUCUUCUUUUUUUCAAACAUACCUUACUUCUAACACAUGCUUUCCCUGAAUCAAUCCGUCAAGUAACCACGUUACCCUAAAAAAAUGCAACAUUUAGCAUGUAGGGAUGCUUUAGAGGUAAGUCUCCUACCAAGGACCAAGUGGUCCCCCUAGGUCUCAAUAUGAUGCACGUAAGUAUGACCUAAAGGCUGACCAACGUCGGGGUUCACUAACAAGGCUAUUCGGGGGAGCGUAUGGCCGAUAGUGGCUGCGACAGCUUUCCACCCACUCCAUACGUCCGAUGGCUCCCCCUCCUAAAUUAAGGGUGACUCAACUAGAGUUCGUGUACAUGACAUGCACUCUGAGACUUGCUGCAAAAAGAAUUGUCUCGGGUUAUGCAAAUGAUGUCAGAUAUAAAACGGUAAGACAUAAAGAAAAAUCAUAAACAAGGAGCACGUAGGCACUCAACGAUGAUAAAAUAAACACUAAUUAUAACACAAACAAUGUCUAUACACCCUUAAUGCCAAACUAAGCCGAUACAACUUCAAAAAUAAGCUUGAAUUCUGAAAACGAUUCCCCAUCAGAGUCGCCAAAGAUGUCACACCCCUUUUCAACUCCCAAAAGAAUAGUUUUAAGUUUUUAUUAUUAAAGUGACAAAAAGAUUGAAAAUUUGUUUCGAAAAUGGAUUAUUUACAUUUUUCAUUCAGAGUCGCCACUUGACAUAAAUCGGGUGUGCCAAGUCACCUUUGGAAAUCCUUUUCAAAACAGUUUGACUCUAGAAACUGAUUCGCGAAUAGAGAUUCUAGAUAAGGAAUUUUGUUGACCGAGGGGAAGGUGUUAAGCAUCCCUCGAUCCCGUGGUUCGACCACGGUCGCUUGGUGGAGAGUAUCGACUAAUUUGACAUCACGAAUGUAUAAACCACACAAAAAUACUUAAAACAAUCAAUCAAACACACAAAAAUAAAACAAAUCCAAAAUAUAGUGUUCAGUCCAAUUAUACAGUUCAAAAAUAGAAAAAAUGCAAAAAUAUAAAUCUUAUUCUAAGUUAAUCCUUAAACCACGGUCCAAUGCCUUACCAGAUGCCUCGGGCCUUGAUCACAAGCCUCCUUUGCAUACGUGAUACUUCGGAGCAUUCCUCGGUGAAUAAGUACAAUAUAAUCUCGAGGCAUUCCCAGCGAAUGAAUACAUCUUCAAAUCUUGCGCGAUAAAAUAGAAAGAACUAUUCACAUGCACAUUCAAACAUUCAACAAAACACCAUUCCUCAAAUUUGCCUACCCGACUUAGCAUUUUCCUACUAGAUUCGGUUUAUCACAAUUCCAACAAAUUCAAUAUAAUUGAAGAUCCAAAAAAUUAGCAUGAAUUCACUUCAUCAUGUUUAACCCCUCCCAAAAUUCCUUUUAACACAUGAAAAUAGUUAUCAAGCCAUAUCAACAUCGAUUUCAUACUAACAACUAGCUAUUCAAAUAAACAGCACCAAGUAUCAAUAAAAUUCUCAAUCAGUCAUCGUCAAAUACAUAAUGAUAAUAAGAGAGUAGAGUCGAGAAUUGGACCUCAAAAGUUUUUGAUUAACUUAAAAAGAAAGAGGAGGGCCACUCCGAGAACCUCGACGAACACUAAAAUCUCAACUAUGAAUCAAUUCGAGCACAAAAAUUCCUUGAAAUCCAAUUCGAAAAGAGAACCCAUGAAGGACAGUGAACGAACUCUAACUUGGUAUUGAGAAACGGAGACCCGAAACAGACCACAAUGAACCCACCUAGAUAAACAAUGUUCCCACCACUCCGAUAAGCUCGGACAGCAGCGGAUAUCGAUGAACAAGGCAGAUUCCGAUGAUUUUAACAUUCUCAGGCUGAAUUCAUCUGUGGAAAGCGACAACGACAAGCACAGCCCGUUCCGAAAAACUUUAGUCUGUUUUGACGUUCUCCGGCGACAAACUGACGCGACCUCUACCUCUCCUUUCGAUUCUCACCUCUAUCUCUCACUCAAUUUCACCCUCUCUUCCCCUUCGAUUCUCCAAUCUCUCUCAAAUCUGUGUGUUUUAGGUGUGUGUAUAUCAGUGUCCUGUGAGAAAGAAAAAAUGAAGUCUCUGGUAGCGUGUGUACCAGUGAAGAUGAUCGUGUGAGUAUGAAAAUGGAGGGUGUGUAUGUGAUGUGCGUGAUUUGGUUGUGUGCCUAAGAUGAUGAAGAAACAGCCAAAAAGAAAAUCAGCAAGAAAAACCCGAUCCCCCCUAUAUCCGUGCACUGUGUGUAUAUAAAUACCCAAAAGGAAAAUGUUUUUUCUCUUAGUGGUAGGGCCCCCCUUCCCUUUUUUUUGUAUGUGUAUAUCAAUGGAAAGUGAGGUGUGUGAGUGAAGGGAAAUCAGUCCCCCCAAUCAAGUGGGCCCCUCCCAUUUUUGCUUCUCUUUCUUUUGUGAUUUUAUAUAUAUGUAUUGUGUUUGAGUACAAACAAAAACAAAAACCAAAAAGAUUCCCUGUGGCCCCCCUUUAUUUAUGGAAAAUUCCCUUUUGUUCCUUUCCCCUCAAAAAUGACAAAACCGUGUAAAGAUACGACAGGGG
rnacentral:lncRNA from 1 species